rnacentral:rRNA from 1 species
CCCCUGCAUGCCUAGUACGGCGAGUGAGCGGCAACAGCUCAAAUUUGAAAGCUGGCUCCGGCCCGCAUUGUAAUUUGCAGAGGAUGCUUCUGGUGAGGUGCCUUCCGAGUUCCCUGGAACGGGACGCCAUAGAGGGUGAGAGCCCCGUAUGGAUGGACACCAAACCUGUGUGAAGCUCCUUCAACGAGUCGAGUAGUUUGGGAAUGCUGCUCUAAAUGGGAGGUAAAUCUCUUCUAAAGCUAAAUACCGGCCAGAGACCGAUAGCGCACAAGUAGAGUGAUCGAAAGAUGAAAAGCACCUUGAAAAGGGGGUUAAACAGUACGUGAAAUUGUUGAAAGGGAAGCGCUUGUGACCAGACUUGCGCCGGGCAGCUCAUCAGGGGUUCUCCCCUGUGCACUCUGCCCGGCUCAGGCCAGCAUCGGUUCUCGUGGGAGGAUAAGAACGGUUGGAACGUGGCCCCCCUCCGGGGGGGUGUUAUAGCCUACCGUACGAUACUCCCGUGGGGACCGAGGUUCGCGCUCCGCAAGGAUGCUGGCGUAAUGGUCAUCAGCGACCCGUCUUG